CCUUAGACUACUUCUCAAACCUCAGUCCACGUCAGAAUCACCAAAGGGCCUGAUGCAUCCCAGAUUCCAGUCCCUUCUCUCCAUCCCAGACAUUCUGCUGAGGCAACUACCACAUUUAAGUGGACAAGUUCAUCAUUAAUAUUUAACUCAUGAGGCCUCUCUUGGAUCAGCUUUUCUUCACUGAUCAUUCAUCUUUGAGGUUUGGUUUCUACUCCCGUGCUCUCGAAAUGUCAGCCAACACUGCAAAUGGCAGUCACCUAUUCUGGUCACCACCUGCU
rnacentral:lncRNA from 1 species